GUGGGGAAUAUUGGACAAUGGGCGAAAGCCUGAUCCAGCAAUGCCGCGUGAGUGAAGAAGGCCUUAGGGUUGUAAAGCUCUUUUACCCGGGAAGAUAAUGACUGUACCGGGAGAAUAAGCCCCGGCUAACUCCGUGCCAGCAGCCGCGGUAAUACGGAGGGGGCUAGCGUUGUUCGGAAUUACUGGGCGUAAAGCGCACGUAGGCGGCUUUGUAAGUUAGAGGUGAAAGCCCAGGGCUCAACCCUGGAACUGCCUUUAAGACUGCAUCGCUUGAACACGGGAGAGGUGAGUGGAAUUCCGAGUGUAGAGGUGAAAUUCGUAGAUAUUCGGAAGAACACCAGUGGCGAAGGCGACUCACUGGACCGUUGUUGACGCUGAGGUGCGAAAGCGUGGGGAGCAAACAGGAUUAGAAACCCCGGUAGUCC
rnacentral:rRNA from 1 species